rnacentral:lncRNA from 1 species
UUGAAAAUGUUGCUGUUACUGGAACUGUUGUUUUGUUCACGGGAGAGAGAAGCACUGUUUGCAGAGAUGCCUACAUUCCUUAGGUGGCCAUCCCAGUUCCUGAGGUACGGAAAGCUUUAUUAUAUGCCAUUCAGUAUGCAUCUAUUUAGCUAUGUGGAUUGCCGAUGUUUCAGCUAAAUAUGUAAUCGUCAAAAGUGAAAUAUUUGAAGUAGCAAAUAUGAGCUUUAAUUGCAGAAGUAUUUGAAGCUAUAAGCACAUAGAGUUACAUUUUUCACUUGAAUUGUUGAUUCUUCUAGUUCUACCAUAAUUUUAGGAAAAUAUGAUGUUUUGAUUGGGAGAUGGUAUCAGUUUUUUGUGAUGCCACAAUCAAAGGAAAGAGCUAUUGAUUGGAAAUUAAACUUCUGCUAUAGUACCUUUGCCGACUCCAAUGAACUUUAAGUACAUAAAGGUAUUUUAUUGAUGAUGUUAGUUUGCAAGUAUAUCCAGAACAAAUUCUUUCAUUUGUCACGAAGUCUUGAUCGUGGCCAACCAGAUUUUAUAUCUGCUCUUCAUUUGGAUACACCAAAAUUGAGGGAAUUCAUGGGGGCAUUAUUUAUUUAAAUCCCGAUGUGAGGAAAGAUAUGCAUCAGAUAUUAUUGAAUAUUAGCAUCAUACUUCACAAGAGGGUAAAAAAACAUGAUAACAUAUAUGUCUUUUUUCAUGAGAUUUGGGCAAUUGGCAAAAUUUUGAGGAGGUAAUUUUCUUUUAUUAGGACUAGGUAAUUCUACUGUGUAUCUCCCUCCAUUUCUCAAUUUUUUUUCUUCCUAUUCCUCAAUAAUUGGUAAAAUGCACAAAUAUGCUACAGUAUUAACUGGAUUAGAUCAAGAUCCAAUCUAGUCACCUCUUGGUCUUUAAUCUAAUGACCGAGAGACGAGUCAAAAUUGUAAUUGCAACCUGCCAAGAUAUACUCCCUGCAAGCCUGCAGUCUUUGCAAUAAUUUCGGGGAGAAUCUUUAGAUGAUUGAUAAAUCCAAUUGCUGCUUAAACUGUACUUUUGUUGAGAUCACAAAUUUAUGGCCUGCUUUCCUGUGCGGUGAAUUAUCUGCAAUGAGUAGGAACGUCACAACCUGAUCCGUGGAGAAGAUGGAGGUUUGUGCUUAAUGUUGGUUAAAGUAGUUGGCAGGAAAGUCUCUGGCAUUCUGAAAUAUAUUUCUUCCAUGCACAGAAGCCUGCUGACUUUGAAUUUGUGCUUGGCUUGGGAAGGUCCAUGAGAAUUAUGAUUUGGCAUACUUGGUUAGCGGCUCGGUGAGCUGGGUUUUGCUACAUCUUGCAUGAUUAACUUGAGUAUGGUUUUGCUUCACCAUAACCACAUUAUGGGAUUGUGUGGUUGGCUAAAGGCAAUGCUCAAGCUGGUGUUGAAAGGAUGGUGUAAUUGACAUUAAAGAGUAUUGCUGCUCUUGGUUGCAACUGUUCAUUUUGUGCGUGCCAAAAUGUGAUGGGAUCUUUAUUAUAAAUUGUUUUCAGGGUUCAAAAUAUGACCUGAUUUGGUAAUGCAGAUUCAGAAUUUGUUUUAUGAAUCCCAAAAUGUAAAUGCUGUAGUCCUGCAAUGCUAUAACCUUAUAUUUUAAAAAUGCCUUCAGCAGUACAUAUAUCCUCGAAGAAUGGUACAUCAGAGGACCCGUGAAGCAUGGUACAUCAGAGGAAUGGUUCCUUACCCCUUUAGAAGCACUUAUAUGUGCAAAUGAAGCAAAGCAAGGUCUAUGGUUUGGGAUGCUUGGGCUGUGGAGAAGGAUGCGUUGUCGCUCCAUGGUAAUCUGCACUGUAAACUAGCCCUCCCUCGUUGUCAUCAUUGUGCUCUCCGCCAGCAGAACCUUCUUUGGCUUCUGAUUUCUUCAUUCCAUGAGGUAUCUGUUACCAGUUGUAACUCUAAGAUUUUUCUUUUAUUUUUAUUCUUUGAUAGAACUCAGAAACACAUCAACUAACCUUGGCUUUCCGUUCUCCUGAUGGCUUUGUUACCAGAAAACUUAGCUCCUUCCCAAGCCGCCUGCUUAAAAUUUGGUUUACUAUGGUUGGAGAUAGAGAGAAGGGCGGACUAUCUGUGGAUGGCUGGUGGGAAUGAUAUAUGGCCAGCACAAGAGCACACAAAAAUGCGACACAGAGCAGUUGCUUCAUGUUGGUGGCUUGAAGAAGUCCCCUCUUGGUGGGGAGGAAGAAAUUGUUCAGG